AUUGAACGCUGGCGGCAGGCUUAACACAUGCAAGUCGAGCGGGGGAGGUUGCUUCGGUAACUGACCUAGCGGCGGACGGGUGAGUAAUACUUAGGAAUCUGCCUAUUAAUGGGGGACAACAUCUCGAAAGGGAUGCUAAUACCGCAUACGCCCUACGGGGGAAGCAGGGGAUCACUUGUGACCUUGCGUUAAUAGAUGAGCCUAAGUCGGAUUAGCUAGUUGGUGGGGUAAAGGCCUACCAAGGCGACGAUCUGUAGCGGGUCUGAGAGGAUGAUCCGCCACACUGGGACUGAGACACGGCCCAGACUCCUACGGGAGGCAGCAGUGGGGAAUAUUGACAAUGGGGGCAACCCUGAUCCAGCAAUACCGCGUGUGUGAAGAAGGCCCUAGGGUUGUAAAGCACUUUUGUUAGGGAGAAUGGUAAUUAGAGUUAAUACCUUUAGUUGCUGAUGUUACCUAAAGAAUAAGCACCGGCUAACUCCGUGCCAGCAGCCGCGGUAAC
rnacentral:rRNA from 1 species